rnacentral:misc_RNA from 1 species
UUUCCGUAGGUGAACCUGCGGAAGGAUCAUUAAUGAGUUGUCAUGGGGUUCGAUGCUGGCAGCCAAUUUUUGGAUGCAUGUGCUUGCCCUAACAAUCACCUUCCAAACACCUGUGCACAUUUUUGAGGGAGUCUUGAGUUGGUUGCCGCUCUUGGGUGAUUUUCUCACAUUCCCUUAAACCAUUAUACGCUAUUAACAAUGUUGAACGUGCUCUGUGCCGCAAGGCUAUUAAUAUAAUACAACUUUUAACAACGGAUCUCUUGGCUCUC